rnacentral:rRNA from 1 species
AUUGAACGCUGGCGGAAUGCUUUACACAUGCAAGUCGGGCGGCAGCGCGGGGGCAACCCUGGCGGCGAGCGGCGAACGGGUGAGUAACACAUCGGAACGUACCCUGUCGUGGGGGAUAACGAAUCGAAAGAUUCGCUAAUACCGCAUACGACCUGAGGGUGAAAGCGGGGGAUCGCAAGACCUCGCGCGAGAGGAGCGGCCGAUGGCGGAUUAGCUAGUUGGUGGGGUAAAGGCCCACCAUGGCGACGAUCCGUAGCGGGUCUGAGAGGACGGCCCGCCACACUGGGACUGAGACACGGCCCAGACUCCUACGGGAGGCAGCAGUGGGGAAUUUUGGACAAUGGGGGCAACCCUGAUCCAGCCAUUCCGCGUGAGUGAAGAAGGCCUGGUGUAAG